rnacentral:rRNA from 1 species
AUUGAACGCUGGCGGCGUGCUUAACACAUGCAAGUCGAUCGGUAACGCGGGGGCAACCCUGGCGACGAGAGGCGGACGGGUGAGGAACGCUUGGGAAUCUGCCUAUCAGCGGGGGACAACACGGGGAAACUCGUGCUAAUACCGCAUACGCUCUACGGAGGAAAGCCGGGGACCGCAAGGCCUGGCACUGAUAGAUGAGCCCAAGCCGGAUUAGCUAGUUGGCGGGGUAACGGCCCACCAAGGCGACGAUCCGUAGCUGGUCUGAGAGGACGAUCAGCCACACUGGGCCUGAGACACGGCCCAGACUCCUACGGGAGGCAGCAGUGGGGAAUAUUGGACAAUGGGGGAAACCCUGAUCCAGCGACGCCGCGUGGGUGAAGAAGGCCUGCGGGUUGUAAAGCCCUUUCGGUAGGGACGAAAGCUCUCGACCUAACACGUUGGGAGGUUGACUUAACCUACAGAAGAAGCACCGGCUAACUCUGUGCCAGCAGCCGCAGUAAAAC